rnacentral:rRNA from 1 species
GACGAACGCUGGCGGCGUGCUUAACACAUGCAAGUCGAACGGAAAGGCCCUGCUUGCAGGGUACUCGAGUGGCGAACGGGUGAGUAACACGUGGGUGAUCUGCCCUGCACUUCGGGAUAAGCCUGGGAAACUGGGUCUAAUACCGGAUAGGAGCCAUUUUUAGUGUGAUGGUUGGAAAGUUUUUUCGGUGUAGGAUGAGCUCGCGGCCUAUCAGCUUGUUGGUGGGGUAAUGGCCUACCAAGGCGGCGACGGGUAGCCGGCCUGAGAGGGUGGACGGCCACAUUGGGACUGAGAUACGGCCCAGACUCCGACGGGAGGCAGCAGUGGGGAAUAUUGCACAAUGGGCGCAAGCCUGAUGCAGCGACGCCGCGGGGGGGAUGACGGCCUUCGGGUUGUAAACUCCUUUCGCUAGGGACGAAGCUUUUUGUGACGGUACCUAGAGAAGAAGCACCGGCUAACUACGUG